rnacentral:rRNA from 1 species
GACGAACGCUGGCGGCGGGCUUAACACAUGCAAGUCGAACGGAAAGGCCCUGCUUUUGUGGGGUGCUCGAGUGGCGAACGGGUGAGUAACACGUGAGUAACCUGCCCUUGACUUUGGGAUAACUUCAUGAAACUGGGGCUAAUACCGGGUAGGAGCUCCUGCUUCAUGGGGGGGGUGGGAAAGUUUCGGCGGUUGGGGAUGGACUCGCCGCUUAUCAGCUUGAUGGUGGGGUAGUGGAUUACCAAGGCUUGGAGGGGUAGCCGGCCUGAGAGGGUGACCGGCUACAUUGCGACUGAGAUACGGCACAGACUCCAACGGGAGGCAGCAGUGGGGAAUAUUGCACAACGGGAGGAAGCCUGAUGCAGCAACGCCGCGUGCGGGAUGACGGCCUUCGGGUUGUAAACCGAUUUCGCCUGUGACGAAGCGUGAGUGACGGUAAUGGGUAAAGAAGCCCCGGCUAACUACGUG